rnacentral:lncRNA from 1 species
GGAGAGUGUCCUCAAUGGCGCGGCGGCUCCGGGCCCAGGAAAGCGGACCUGGGACCGCUGGAAGGAAAUCGGGGGCGGAGGGGAACUGGUGGGCGCUGGGAAGGCGCGGAGAAGGGAGGAAACCCACUGAGGGGCAAGAAGCUCCUCGGUGAUCUCAGCUAGAGGAAAAUGAGGGCUAAGUAAUCUGGGCCAUUGGGCGUUACUGCGCUGUCCCGGCUGGCUUCUGAAUCCUGGGAGCAUUCUUUUUUAUAAAGGGAGUCAGACACCGUGAACUCUCGCCAGAAAAACUUCUGGCUAAAAAUGAUCCACAAAAGGAAAAUGAGUUGGUUUUUAACUGGAUGAAAACAAACACAAACUCACUUUACUUUUGGAUCCUUUUUGCUGCGUUACAAACCACCUCAAAGUGCUGAGAACCAGGUAGAAGAAUGGAGGAGGAAGGGUUCUCCUGGCAGAGAGAGCGGCAGCCCUGUGAAGAGGUGCCUUCCACCAUGAUUGUAAGUUUCUUGAGGCCAGCCAUGCAGAACUGUGAGUCAAUUAAACUUCUUUCCUCUAUAAAUUACCCAAUCUUGGGUAUUUCUUCAUAGCAGCAUGAGAACGGACUAAUACACCUCCUCAAGUCUUGUCUCCUCCAGGAAACUUUCUGGAAGACAGCACCCAAAGCCCUGCUUGUCUCAGCCAUCCAUUUGUUGAGCCUCAACACUGCCAUGUGGUGCCAUGUGCAUUUACAGUGGAGAUGUCUGAACUCCUGAGCUGGACCACACACUGCUGGGUCUUGAUUUGUCUUUGUACUUCUUGGCACCACUUACUGCACACUAUGCCUGGUGCAUGAGUGAUCUGCUCUCAGCACUUGUUAAGCAUUGUGCCAUGUGUAUGAAACUAGGCCAGGUGUUGUGUGCAAGGAGGUAAGUAGAAUCUAGUCCCUGGCCUUGAGAGGCUCUCAGCCUCAGGUGCAGACAGUCCUGUGAUAAGAGCAGUACAGGCUGUGAUGUGGGAGCCGAGAUGGAGAAGUCCUGCCCCCUGCUUGGGAGGAUUUAUGGAGACAUGAGGCAUUUGCCUGGGUCUGGAAGAGUGAGAGCUGUGGUAUCUCUUAAUCUCUGCUUCCUCCUUCUGUCCAGAAAAUACUUGAAGGCCAAAGCAGGCAAAAGAAAUUUCAGGAGAUCCAGGUAGAAAUAGCAACCAGACUGAUUCAGAACAGGAAAAACACCCUCUAUAUGAAACUUCGCUGAGAUUGAGCAAGUCUGCUGAAGUCUCUGCUCUGUGCCCUGGCCUUCUCUGCUGUCUGCAAGGGCUGAAGGCAGAGAGUGGUUGUUUUCCAUAGGGUUCUCAAUGAUGCUGCCAUUGUGUCUGGCACCAGAACAAGAAGGCUGCUUCCUAGAGAAAGGUAGCAGUGCCUGCAAUCAGAUAAGAUCCAUCACUCUGAAACCCUCCAAACACUGCAGAUUGCAUGGCGGCUGGCGGCUUCCUGCAACUGCAGCUUCAAGCUAGUAGUAUGGGAGCUGCAUGAUCUUAUCAUCAUCCCAGGUCACCUUCAGACCUCCUUAGAUUAUUCUCAAGGUGAGGAGAGGGUGAUAAAACCCCAAACAUUCUGCUUCUAAUGUCACCUUUGCCACCAGUAUCACCUAGGGGACUAUAAAAGAACUAUUCUUUUUUAAUUAUUCAUUAUCAUGAUUCACAAAUUUAAAAAUCCAGACAAAUAAAAAGAAAAAA